CUGGGGCCUCCCUCUGGAUGGGCCUGCGCUGACAGUCCCAGCUGGCAGCAGCUCGCGGGGCAGGCAGCUGGGGCCGUGAGGCCGCGGCACAUCAGGUACGAGGGGAUCUGGGACGGGGGAUGGGGAGUGGCGGGCAGGUCCCCAACCCUCAGCACCCAAUUUCAUCUGCCCCUCAGCCUCUCCCCAUCCCUGUCCCCAACCCAGCAUCCUUCCCAGUCCUGCUUUUGGCUUUUCACAUUUGAAACUCCGUACACCCAUCGCGCCUGAGUUUGCUGAGCCUCUCCCCAAACCGGACCACCGCGGUUUCAUUGCUCCCCCACAAUUCCCCCUCCACUGCAUCCUUCAGUCCCCACAGGAGCAGGCCCCCAGCGCCCAGCUGCCCGGCCGCCAUGCACAAGCAUUACAAAGUCCACUUCGCCAAGGACGCCCAGACCCCUAGCGGGCACUACUUCUGGGACCCAGAGCUGGGGCACCAAAAAGGAUGCUGUCAUCCGCGGCGCCAGGACUCAGCAGCCCUCCGAGCCCAUGGGCCCUGUCGGCCUUCCCCCCAGUCACAUUGGCAGCUGGCCUACCACAGCCACCGAGCGGGUGGCAGUGGCUGGCGCCAGGCCCC
rnacentral:lncRNA from 1 species